AGUCGAGCGGUAGCACAGAGAGCUUGCUCUCGGGUGACGAGCGGCGGACGGGUGAGUAAUGUCUGGGAAACUGCCUGAUGGAGGGGGAUAACUACUGGAAACGGUAGCUAAUACCGCAUAACGUCGCAAGACCAAAGAGGGGGACCUUCGGGCCUCUUGCCAUCAGAUGUGCCCAGAUGGGAUUAGCUAGUAGGUGGGGUAACGGCUCACCUAGGCGACGAUCCCUAGCUGGUCUGAGAGGAUGACCAGCCACACUGGAACUGAGACACGGUCCAGACUCCUACGGGAGGCAGCAGUGGGGAAUAUUGCACAAUGGGCGCAAGCCUGAUGCAGCCAUGCCGCGUGUAUGAAGAAGGCCUUCGGGUUGUAAAGUACUUUCAGCGGGGAGGAAGGCGUUGAGGUUAAUAACCUCAGCAAUUGACGUUACCCGCAGAAGAAGCACCGGCUAACUCCGUGCCAGCAGCCGCGGUAAUACGGAGGGUGCAAGCGUUAAUCGGAAUUACUGGGCGUAAAGCGCACGCAGGCGGUCUGUCAAGUCGGAUGUGAAAUCCCCGGGCUCAACCUGGGAACUGCAUUCGAAGCUGGCAGGCUAGAGUCUUGUAGAGGGGGGUAGAAUUCCAGGUGUAGCGGUGAAAUGCGUAGAGAUCUGGAGGAAUACCGGUGGCGAAGGCGGCCCCCUGGACAAAGACUGACGCUCAGGUACGAAAGCGUGGGGAGCAGACAGGAUUAGAUACCCUGGUAGUCCACGCCGUAAACGAUGU
rnacentral:rRNA from 1 species